GACGAACGCUGGCGGCGUGCUUAACACAUGCAAGUCGAACGGAAAGGCCCUGCUUUUGUGGGGUGCUCGAGUGGCGAACGGGUGAGUAACACGUGAGUAACCUGCCCUUGACUUUGGGAUAACUUCAGGAAACUGGGGCUAAUACCGGAUAGGAGCUCCUGCUGCAUGGUGGGGGUUGGAAAGUUUCGGCGGUUGGGGAUGUACUCGCGGCUUAUCAGAUUGUUGGUGAGGUAGUGGCUUACCAAGGCUUUGACGGGUAGCCGGCCUGAGAGGGUGACCGGCCACAUUGGGACAGAGGUACGGCCCGGACUCCUACGGGAGGCAGCAGUGGGGAAUAUUGCACAAUGGGCGGAAGCCUGAUGCAGCAACGCCGCGUGCGGGAUGACGGACUUCGGGUUGUAGACCGCUUUCGCCUGUGACGAAGCGUGAAUGACGGUAAUGGGUAAAGAAGCACCGGCUAACUACGUG
rnacentral:rRNA from 1 species